rnacentral:rRNA from 1 species
CUCAGAAACUACAAAGGAAGUGACGGGACCCGCACAAGCAGCGGAGCAUGUGGUUUAAUUCGAAGCAACGCGAAGAACCUUACCAGAUCUUGACAUCCAAUUGACCAUCUUUUAAUCGAGAUUUUGCCUUCGGGUACAAUUGAGACAGGUGGUGCAUGGUUGUCGUCAGCUCGUGUCGUGAGAUGUUGGGUUAAGUCCCGCAACGAGCGCAACCUUGUGUUUAGUUGCAAACAGGUCAAGCUGUGCACUCUAGACAGACUGCCGUGGACAACACGGAGGAAGGUGGGGAUGACGUCAAAUCAUCAUGCCCCUUAUGAUCUGGGCUACACACGUGCUACAAUGGCCGGUACAACGGGCAGCGAAGGAGCGAUCCGGAGCGAAUCCUAAAAAGCCGGUCCCAGUUCGGAUUGCAGGCUGAAACUCGCCUACAUGAAGUUGGAGUUGCUAGUAAUCGCGAAUCAGAAUGUCGCGGUGAAUGCGUUCCCGGGUCUU